rnacentral:lncRNA from 1 species
CACCCACCUCGGCCUCCCAAAGUGCUAGGAUUACAGGCAUGAGCCACCACGCCCAGCCCAUACCUGCUCUAUAGAGAGGGUGAAGUUUGCUCAUCUGGGCCUGCAGCACCCAGGAGCUCCUGAAAGAGCUCAUGGCAGUUUCAGAGUAGACAGAGGAUGUGAGAAGCAGUGACUCUUGUUUGGAAAUCUUCUAAAUUGGCUGACUCCCAUUUACAUGCUGUUUCUGGCAGCAGAGAUCAGUCUGGGUCACCUCUAUGCUGCUGAGUAAAUAUGCUCAAAAUUAUUACUAUUUCAGACAAAUGUUUAACUGUUCUCAGAUUAUCUAUAACACCCCAGGCCAAAGUCACAGCAAUCUAACCUGGGAGUGAGUUUACUUUACUUUGUGAUUUAUGGAAUGAGAAUUCUGGGUGCUCUGUGGGACUAAUUUAAUACGAAACAUUCAGAUGUCUGUCUUAUAAUGCCAUUCAUCUUUCCUUAGCCUGCCUGCACCAGGGAGCAUGUGGUUCAGAGAGCAGCCUCUCCCUUCUCAGCCACAAAUCAUCACGCUUGUGAAAGGGGGUGACAAGUCUUCCCUUCUAAGCCAGGCUGCCUGCAACAGAGGGUCUGUCUGGUCUCUGAUGGAAGAAAAGUGUUUUCCACUCUUUCAGGCUGUUGGAGUGUUUUGAAAGGUACAGUUGGCAAAGUAGGAUUCCUAGUCAACAUUGCUUUGGUUUGCCUUUUGGUAAAGGGAAUUUAGUCAGUCUAUACUGUCUUAUCAACAGGUGCAGAUUUGUUUUAUAAGAAGGCAAUGUGAUGUUCUAUGGAUUGACAUAAUGCACGUGAGAAGAAAGUUCUACAAAAAGCUAAACUCUGAUUCAGUGUAGUACUUACAUUUGAAAAGCAGAUAUUUCAAUGCAUGGCUAAAAAGGAACAAAAAUAAAACUUUUUAAACCAACAAGUUACCCUAAAUCUCACAUUCAUCCAACAAAUAUUCAUGAACGCCUGCUAUGUAGUAAGGGCUAUUCAGGCACUGGGAACACAAUUCUGAACACCCUACUUUCAUGGAGUUUGCAGACCAGUGAGAGAAAGGGCAUGUCCACAGUGGUAAGUCCUACAAGGGUGAGCAACAGGUACAGGGGGAGCACAUGGAAGGAAGUUCCCCACACAGUCAUAUAAAAUGACAUGAGAAAGCUGCAGGAAGAAAAUGUGCAAAAUCAUGGAAGUAAGAGAGAAUAUACAAUCUUGGGGAAUGGGGAAAAGUUUAGCAUGGGUGGAGUGCAGAACUCUGUGAACAAAGGGCUGAGAACCCAGACUUCAGAGCCAGGGGACCUCCGGAUUCCAAAGGCCUUUGGGCACAGGGGAGCGAGUUUGUCCUGCAUUUUGAUGGCAACAGAGGGCCACUUAAGCUCUUUAAGUGAGGAAGUGACAUGAUAUGAUUCUUAUUCUAGAAAGAUCAUUCUGGCUACAACUUUGACAAAGAAUUCGAUAGAAGCAAGGCUCUGGGGGUGGGGGUGUGUGCAGUGACUAGUUGGAAAAUCAGUGUUAUUAUACCAGUGAGUGAUGGCAGUGGUCUGAAGUCAGAUAGGUUCUGGAGUCUGGGAAGUUGAAGAUCAAGGUGCCAGCAGAUUCAGUUUCUGAGAUAUAAGGCAUGACAACAACUCCUUUAAGGGGAAGAUAAGAUAUCUUUCAACUUCUACUUGCGAUGCUGUGAUGCUUUAGGCACUAAAGCAGAAUUAGAGAGCUGCUGCAGGAAUGGGAGAAGACAAACGCUUCAGGACCAUAGAAGGAGGGGCACAGGCAAUCAUAAAUCAGAGAAAGAUGCUGGUCCUGCAGAAAGAGCCACUAACCCUGGAGAGAGAGCCGCCUUGGUGCAUUGAUGACUGAUGAGCCGACAACAGUUGGAGAUGAGAGUAAGUCUAGCAAUGUUCAAAGAGUGGGUGGGAAGAACAUGGCUAAAUCAUCCAGAAUAGCCACAGCAGUGAAAGCAGUUGAGAGAAAGUCCACAUUGGAUGGGAUUCAAAUACCAUCUGGGGGUUUCAUUAUAGAAGGUAUAGAGAAGCACUUUGAAAUGUGAUCUGUUUCUCAUUCUUCCAGCAAAAGUCUCAAACACUGAAACUCUGAGCUUCUUUGGAGUCACUGUCAUUAGCCAGACACCCCCAGUGAAAUCCAAACCCUACCCUUCCUGCUGCCUGUUCAUUUCUCACACACAGUCCAUCCUCCAGAGGUAUUUUAUACAGCCUGACAGCGUGAAAGGAUACAUUCCUAACUGAUGACAAAGAAUCGCAUGCAAGCCCGUAAAGACAAAAAUACACAGCAUGGAAAAGGAAGAGAUUCGAAGUUUCUAGACAUUCUCUAAGUGUCCUUUUACACAUCUAGGCCACAUUAAUCUUCCCAAAACAUUGUUUUCACCAUGCCAUUUCUUUAUUUACAGGCAAGUAGUGGUUCAAGCACUUGAGUUUAGGAUAGUGUUAUGGACUAAACUGUGUCCACUCCAAAUUCAUGGUUAAGCCCUAACCGCUACUGUGACUAUAUUCGAAGAUAGAGCCUUUAAGGAGGUAAUUAAGGUUAAAUAAAGCCAUAAGGGUGGAGCCCUAUUCCAGUGGGACUGGUUUCUUUAUAUACAAGAAAAAGAAGAGACGCCAGGGUUCUUUCUCUCUCCACAUGCACACAAAGGAAAGGAUAUGUGUGAACACAGCAAGAAGGUGGCUGUCUGUAAGCCAAAAAGGGAGGCCUCACCAGAAACCAACCCAGCUGGCACCUUGAUCUUGGACAUCCAGCCUCCAGAACUGUGAGAAAAUCAACUUCUGUUGUUUCUGCUGUUUAACACUCAGUCUAGUAUUUUGUUAUGGCUGACUGAGAAAACUAAUACAUAUGUAUAUGGGGUCUAUCAUAUGCUUUUAAACAAUCUCUCUGGUCACAUCUAUCUCUUCCAAUUUCUCUGUCCAUGGGGCACCUAUUUAAUACGCUUUAUGAAUUCCAACACCUAUAUUUACAUGGGUGUCCCUAAUCCUUGCUAACCAUUUUUCUGCUUAAGGUGUUGAAUCUUCUCCAUUUCUCAAGUUCCAUCAGAGUUCCUGAUUGAUUCCUCUGUAGAGCCUUGUCUGCCACCCUAGAAAGCAAAAACAAAAAAGUUACCAUUUGGAGGUAGAAAUGGUUCACCACAAGACACCCAGAUGGCAAUAGGAUUUCUGAGGAUGAGGGAGCUGCAUCUUGCUUUUGUUUCUCAGAGUCUCUCUGGAGAAAGGAUUCAUCUAGAGCCCAUAAAACCAAAUCACGCAAGAUGGAAAAACAGGAUGAAAGAUUAAAAUUUUUGUCCAAGACCAUAAAAGCCAGCUGUGGAUCCCUGGGUGAAUCUUGGAGUUGCUAACUUCUGUAUUUUGCUUAGUUUAUUGAGUAACAAUACCUUAAUUUAAAAAAAAUAUUUUCAGCCAAAGAGGUGAGGGAAUAGAUAUGUGCGCUUGCAAGGAAGUCUGCAGGGUAACUCCAUAUCAUAUCAAAUAUCACUUGUAAAAUACAUUGCUAAAGGCAUUGGCCAGAGUGAAUAGUCAAGAUAAUCACCAAGUAGUGCAAGGACAAAGCUGGGUUUGGGCCUUCUAGCUUCUUCUCUCUUCCUAUGACUGUGAGGAGCAGCCCCCAAGGCAGACCAGGUAGUUCCUCCUAACACAGCCCCUGCUUCCCCAAUUUGAAAAUAAAAUAAAACAUCCUAUCAACACAUAAAUGCCCAGAUACUCCAGAUGGUGAAUGAGGUGGCAUCUCUUGGAUGAUUCAGAUGACAUACAACUUGAAGCUGGCAUGAGAAACAAGGCAGAAAAAGGCAUUCAGUCUAUCACAAGAAGGAAGAAAAUCCAGUAGCUUUGUUUUCCUCUUUCUUAUAGAUCUCUGCUCUAGAGCCAAUCUAAAAACUGAAUUCUGGUUUCUAGUUUUUCUAAGUCUGUAUCCACUGACAUACAAUCAAAUAAAAUGUCUUUAAGUAAACAGAGAUCUUCAUCUCAUCAGCUUUAACUGGUGAAUCUGGCCAGGGACAUUUAUCACUCAAUCCCACUGCUUUUUCUUUA